rnacentral:rRNA from 1 species
GCUCAGGAUGAACGCUAGCUACAGGCUUAACACAUGCAAGUCGAGGGGCAGCAUGGUCUUAGCUUGCUAAGGCCGAUGGCGACCGGCGCACGGGUGAGUAACGCGUAUCCAACCUGCCUUACACUCUUGGACAGCCUUCUGAAAGGAAGAUUAAUACAAGAUGUUAUCAUGAGUAAGCAUUUUCGCAUGAUUAAAGGUUUACCGGUGUAAGAUGGGGAUGCGUUCCAUUAGAUAGUAGGCGGGGUAACGGCCCACCUAGUCUUCGAUGGAUAGGGGUUCUGAGAGGAAGGUCCCCCACAUUGGAACUGAGACACGGUCCAAACUCCUACGGGAGGCAGCAGUGAGGAAUAUUGGUCAAUGGACGAGAGUCUGAACCAGCCAAGUAGCGUGAAGGAUGAAGGUUCUAUGGAUUGUAAACUUCUUUUAUACGGGAAUAAACGGAUCCACGUGUGGAUUUUUGCAUGUACCGUAUGAAUAAGGAUCGGCUAACUCCGUGCCAGCAGCCGCGGUAAUACGGAGGAUCCGAGCGUUAUCCGGAUUUAUUGGGUUUAAAGGGAGCGUAGAUGGGUUGUUAAGUCAGUUGUGAAAGUUUGCGGCUCAACCGUAAAAUUGCAAUUGAUACUGGCAGUCUUGAGUACAGUUGAGGUAGGCGGAAUUCGUGGUGUAGCGGUGAAAUGCUUAGAUAUCACGAAGAACUCCGAUUGCGAAGGCAGCUUACUAACCUGUAACUGACAUUGAUGCUCGAAAGUGUGGGUAUCAAACAGGAUUAGAUACCCUGGUAGUCCACACGGUAAACGAUGAAUACUCGCUGUAGGCGAUAUACAGUCUGCGGCCAAGCGAAAGCAUUAAGUAUUCCACCUGGGGAGUACGCCGGCAACGGUGAAACUCAAAGGAAUUGACGGGGGCCCGCACAAGCGGAGGAACAUGUGGUUUAAUUCGAUGAUACGCGAGGAACCUUACCCGGGCUUAAAUUGCAACCGAAUAUGGCGGAAACGCUAUAGCUAGCAAUAGCGGUUGUGAAGGUGCUGCAUGGUUGUCGUCAGCUCGUGCCGUGAGGUGUCGGCUUAAGUGCCAUAACGAGCGCAACCCUUGCCGAUAGUUACUAACAGGUUAUGCUGAGGACUCUGUCGGGACUGCCAUCGUAAGAUGUGAGGAAGGUGGGGAUGACGUCAAAUCAGCACGGCCCUUACGUCCGGGGCUACACACGUGUUACAAUGGGGGGUACAGAGGGCUGCUACCACGCAAGUGGAUGCCAAUCCCAAAAACCUCUCUCAGUUCGGAUUGAAGUCUGCAACCCGACUUCAUGAAGCUGGAUUCGCUAGUAAUCGCGCAUCAGCCACGGCGCGGUGAAUACGUUCCCGGGCCUUGUACACACCGCCCGUCAAGCCAUGGGAGCCGGGGGUACCUGAAGUGCGUAACCGCAAGGAGCGCCCUAGGGUAAAACUGGU